rfam:Gossypium hirsutum cultivar TM-1 chromosome 16, whole genome shotgun sequence
UGUUAAAAGUUUCAUCCAUUUAUACUGUUAAAAAUUGGCGUGUAUGAUAGAAUAACCAGACAAUAACUUGUGGCAUGCUAUGUAUUCCUUAUAUUAACGUACAAUGACCAGUUUUUAACAAUAGAAAUGGAUAAAAUUUUUAACA